AUGCCUUUUGGGCUUUCUAAUGCUCCUGGAACUUUUCAGGAACUAAUGAACACUAUCUUUGGGCCUUAUCUGAGGAAAUUUGUGUUAGUUUUCUUUGAUGAUAUUCUAAUUUACAGCAGAAAUCUCAAGGAGCAGUUGGAACAUAUCAAGAUUGUCAUGAACGUAUUGAGAGACAAUAAACUCUUUGCCAAGAUGUCAAAAUGUGUUUUUGCAGUCCAGCAAGUGGAGCAUCUAGAGCAUGUGAUCUCUGAACAAGGAGUUGCAACUGACCCCCAGAAAAUUGCUGCUAUUGUUGAAUGGCCUACUCCUGAUACAGUCACUAAGUUGAGAAGUUUCUUGGGCCUUGCUGGGUAUUAUAGGAGGUUCAUCAAAGGUUAUGGUCUUAUAUGUUGUCCACUCCAUGAUUUGCUGAAAAAUGGCAAUUUCAGUGGACACAAGUUCAUGAUCAAGCUUUCUCUCAAUUGCAACGGGCACUAA
rnacentral:rRNA from 1 species